rnacentral:rRNA from 1 species
UACGUAGGUGGCAAGCGUUAUCCGGAAUCAUUGGGCGUAAAGAGUGUGUAGGCGGCUACUCAAGUCAGUUGUAAAAUCUGUGGGCUCAACUCACAACAUGCAUCUGAAACUAGGUAGCUAGAGUCUGGAAGAGGUAAGUGGAAUUUGUGGUGUAGCGGUGAAAUGCUUAGAUAUCACAAGGAACAUCAAUGGCGAAGGCAACUUACUGGGACAGUACUGACGCUGAGACACGAAAGCGUGGGGAGCGAACGGGAUUAGAUACCCCGGUAGUCCACGCCGUAAACGAUGCCUACUAGCUGUAAGGGGUCUCGACCCCCUCUGUAGCGAAGCUAACGCGUUAAGUAGGCCGCCUGGGGAGUACGAUCGCAAGAUUAAAACUCAAAGGAAUUGACGGGGACCCGCACAAGCGGUGGAGCAUGUGGUUUAAUUCGAUGAUAAGCGAAGAACCUUACCGAGGCUUGACAUCUCCGGAAUCUUCUGGAAACAGGAGAGUGCCUUCGGGAGCCGGAUGACAGGUGCUGCAUGGCUGUCGUCAGCUCGUGUCGUGAGAUGUUCGGUUAAGUCCGUUAACGAGCGCAACCCUCAUCCUGUGUUGCCUGCAAAAGGAACUCACAGGAAACUGCCCUGGUCAACAGGGAGGAAGGUGGGGAUGACGUCAAGUCAGCAUGGCCCUUACGCCUCGGGCCACACACGUGCUACAAUGGCCGGUACAAUGGGCUGCGAACCCGUGAGGGGAAGCCAAUCCCAACAAAACCGGUCUCAGUUCGGAUUGAAGGCUGCAACUCGCCUUCAUGAAGUUGGAAUCGCUAGUAACCGUAGGUCAGCUAUACUACGGUGAAUACGUUCCCGGGUCU